rnacentral:lncRNA from 1 species
UGACACUUCAUAAAUUUCUCGGCUGAAAUUCCAACCAACUGCCAUUACUAUCUCCCACCAGCAGAUGGCGCCACCCUGGCCCUACUUCCCAGUGCUCUUCUGGCAUUCCGGAUGUUCUCAGUUUCCUUCGCGCGCCGCUUACCUCAGCCUGUGGAACUUCUGGAAGCAGCAGCAGCAACUGUGGGUGGUUCAGUGCCAAAUUGUCACAGCCUUGAAAAUAUUGUGCUUCGUUAUUUCGGGCACAGCACAGAUUCAGUUGAGAAGGCAGCUAUCUUUAAUUCAUCUUUCCUAGAGAGUCUUGAAAGAUGCUGCCCCAUUUUCUCCAUGUCUCCAUGGAUGCUCUUGAGAAGACAGCCAUUGUUUAAAUCAUUAUUCCCAGCAUGA